CCUACGCGUGGCAGCAGUGGGGAAUAUUGCACCAUGGGGGAAACCCUGAUGCAGCGACGCCGCGUGAGUGAAAAAGUAUCUCGGUACGUAAAGCUCUAUCAGCAGGGAAGAUAAUGACGGUACCUUACCAAGAAGCCCCGGCUGACCACGUGCCAGCAGCCGCGGUACUACGUAGGGGGCAAGCGUUAUCCGGAUUUACUGGGUGUAAAGGGAGCGUAGACGGCAGCAGAAGUCUGGAGUGAAAUCCCGGGGCUUAACGCCGGAACUGCUUUGGAAACUGUGCGGCUGGAGUGCAGGAGGGGUAGGCGGAAUUCCUAGUGUAGCGGUGAAAUGCGUAGAUAUUAGGAGGAACACCGGUUGCGAAGGCGGCUUACUGGACUGUAACUGACGUUGAGGCACGAAAGCGUGGGGAGCAAACAGGAUUAGAUACCCCGGUAGUC
rnacentral:rRNA from 1 species